AUCAGAGUAUCCCAGGUACGAAGACCCUUUAAGUAAUUCAUUACAUGAUAGAUAGUGUAUUAUUAUUACAAAACAUCUAUUUACCACAAAUAAUGAUCAUCAAUUACUUAUCCACCUUCUCUUUUCCUUUAUCUUUGCCAGAUCCUUCUAUACGUUCAUGUUUCACUGAAAACAUUUAAUUUCAAAGUAAGAAUGAACAUUCAAUUGCUUAGCAAAUAAUAACAGACAAUAAGCACAUGUAGAAAGAUUAAAUGUUUUUUCUUGAUAUAUACUUUUACAACGAUUCAAUAGUUGUGAAGUAAUUGAAAUAAUUCUAAAUAACAUAUCAAAUCGUUUACAAUUUUGAAACGAUGUAGUGACUAUAGAUGCUGAGCGGUCAAAAGUCCUUAAACUUUGUUUUCAUGCUGUGAGAAAAGGUAUAAAAGUAAUUCAGAUAUUUAACCGUCUGACUCACGGGCACGUUGGUUGAGCAACCCUUUAUGCCCUAUGUUGAUCAACACUACAUACUUGUACUCACUGCCUUUUGGCACAAUAAUUUUUUUUUUUCAAAUAAGGGAUGUUCAUUCUCAGACUAGAGUCCAAUCAAAAGAAAUUUGGUUGGAAAAUGCUAAUUAGUCUCAAUAACAAUUUAAGGAUAUAAAUUUAAAUCAAUGAAAAGUUUUAACAAGUGUCUGGCCGAAUCAACUAGCUUAAAUUAUUUUCUUAACAGUUCAUACAUAUUGGAAUUUUAAAGGUAUGCUUUAUAGCAGGGUAUUGAACAACUUGUACGAAUAACAAGAGAUUUGAAAAACUUUGAGUUUCUUAUAUAUAUAUAUAUAUAUAUAUAUAUAUAUAUAUAUAUAUAUAUAUAUUGUUGGGUCAUGAUAUUUUCCCUAUUGGGCCGAAUGAAUUGGGCUCACUUGUUCAAAUUAGUCUAUUGGGCUUUCAUUAUUGAACCUUGAAAGUCAUUGAGCUUAGUCAUCAUAUUAUUUCUAUUAAACCCUAUGAGACCGGGUUGGUUCAUUAGACUAAUCCGUCAUAUAUUUUAAUAUCUAAUGACUUUGACUUGUAAUGAUGAAAAAGCAUGAUAGCUGACUGUUGUAACUGCCAUGCAUUAAUGUGGAUGGGAUUAUAGACGAUCGGCGGUAGAAAAUAGUGACCAAAGGUAGUAGGUAGACUGCAUGCAGUCGGGAGAACCCAUCAGAUCAGGGGGCUGUAUCACACGGUAGUGGGUGGCACGGUAAACCGGACAAGAGAGUAUAACUUAGCAAGGGAUUCUUCAAGAAGAGGUACGUUCACAUACUUUCAACAUUAUUAUCUUUCUCAAUACACUAGAGAAUAUAUCCUCCAUUGUUAACCUUGUGAACACCGAUACUGACUCUCACGCCUGAGCUAUCCCCCGACGGUCGAAACCGUCAAGCUUUUGGUGUUUUAUCGUGUUUACUGUGCAAGAUCUGGACGUCUUACGUGAUUGGGACGUGGCAGGAAAUCUUGACGUUAACAUAUAUAUAUAUAUAUAUAUAUAUAUAUAUAUAUAUAUAUAUAUAUAUAUAUAUAUAUAUAUAUAUAUAUAUAUAUAUAUAGUAUUUAUGAGAAUACUAUCAGUUACAUAUAAACUUGCUCAAUUACUUUAUUAGAGUAAGUGAAGAAAAACUUGCCUUUUGCGUUGUUUAGAUAUUUGAACAAAUUUGACGUUACUCGUCCAAUAAACGUCCUACACAAUUUGAGUUGUACAUACAGACGUCCUACACAAUUUGAGUUGUACAUACAAUUAGUCACAUAUUCAAAGCAAGUAUUUAGCUUACAUAUUCAUAUUGGUUAUGCAUAUUUAUUAGUGCUAACUCUUAGUUUACACUAGCUUUAGUUUACUUCUUACAUUACUUAUUUCAUUUGAUUCAAAAUACUAUUUAUGUGCUUUUUAUAAUAGUUACCACAACAUUUCAACGACUAUACGCCAUUUUCUCAACUCAGCGUAGGCGAAAGCAUAAUCCAUAUGCUCAUGUGUUCACUUAAUGCUCUAUUUCAUUUAUCUAAUACUAAUUAGUUUGAUCUAUAAUUUACUUUUCAUUGGAGUAGGUCAUUCCAUAAUCAUGCUAUGUUAACUUGCUUAUGAUUGGAGGUUUUGAGUUAAAAAGAAUUGUCAUACAUGUGCAUCAAGUUUCUUUAAAAAAUAGUACAAAAAUUCAAAUCUGGUGCACGAUGCGAUCGUGCUGGUUUUAUGCCUGGAAGUGGUACGACCACGCCAUUUCGACAGACAAUAAUACUUGCUCUGUUUUCUGCAGAUUUUCGAAUUUCUCUUCAUACUACCUUUUUAACUUGCUUCUACACAUUCCAUAGAUAUAGAAUCGUUCCAAAUUUAUAUAUGUAUCAUAAUUCUAUAUUUGCAACAACUAAUCUUCAUAAUUUAACUAAUUUUUCUCAUUAAAGCAUUUAAUCAAACACAUUGUGGGCGAAGCUUGAAAACUUAGUUUUCAUAUAUAUAUAUAUAUAUAUAUAUAUAUAUAUGGUUUAACCUAGAUUUCUCAUAGAAACCCCUUUCUUAUUCCUCCGCACAUCAACAACUAUUCUCCUUACUAAAACCCAAAAAUUUUCACAACUAAUUCACAUCAAUUCAUAUGAAUUUACCCAAAAUGUGAAAAUAUAACAAAAGUAUAAAUAUUACCUUUUGAUUGCUUUACACCAACUGAUUUCUGGCUUAAAGUUGCUUCUUAUUUUAGUCCACAACUCUUAUUCUUCUUUUCUUUGAUAGUAAUUUGAAAGUAUAGAGAAUUUGAUGAUUUGUAGAGGAGAUUGUAAUGAUAUGGUUGAAACAGGGAGAAAUUAGCUCCUAAAUGUUUCUUUUAUAAACCAAUUUUUAGCUUUGUUUAGUACUCUGCCUAGCCUUGCUUAGUGUUUGAUAACACUCUAUUAAGUUUACAACUCCACCUUACCAAUCUGGUGACUUAGCUUCUGUUUACAGCUCAUGCUCAUAUACUCCCACCUCCUGCUCCUUAUACCGGCAGCUCAUGCUAAC
rnacentral:lncRNA from 1 species